rnacentral:rRNA from 1 species
UUUCGAAUCAUUCACAAUGGGCGAAAGCCUGAUGGUGCGACGCCGCGUGAGGGAUGAAGGUCUUCGGAUUGUAAACCUCUGUCACUGGGGACAAAACGUUAAAAGUUAAUAGCUUUUAGCCUGAUUUAACCCGGAGAGGAAGCAGUGGCUAACUCUGUGCCAGCAGCCGCGGUAAUACAGAGACUGCAAGCGUUAUUCGGAUUCACUGGGCGUAAAGGGUGCGCAGGUGGCCAAGUGUGUGAGGCGUGAAAGCCCGAAGCUCAACUUCGGAAUUGCACCUCAAACUACAUGGCUAGAGCUUUGGAGAGGGAAACAGAAUUCACGGUGUAGCAGUGAAAUGCGUAGAUAUCGUGAGGAAUACCAGAGGCGAAGGCGGUUUCCUGGACAAAUGCUGACACUCAGGCACGAAAGCGUGGGGAGCAAAAGGGAUUAGAUACCCCCGUAGUCC